UACGAAAGGGGCUAGCGUUGUUCGGAAUUACUGGGCGUAAAGCGCACGUAGGCGGACUACUAAGUCAGGGGUGAAAUCCCGGGGCUCAACCCCGGAACUGCCUUUGAUACUGAGAGUCUCGAGUCCGGAAGAGGUGAGUGGAAUUCCGAGUGUAGAGGUGAAAUUCGUAGAUAUUCGGAGGAACACCAGUGGCGAAGGCGGCUCACUGGUCCGGUACUGACGCUGAGGUGCGAAAGCGUGGGGAGCGAUCCGG
rnacentral:rRNA from 1 species